rnacentral:rRNA from 1 species
CAGUAGCCGCGGGAAUACGUAGGGUGCGAGCGUUGAUCGGAAUUACUGGGCGUAAAGCGGGCGCAGACGGUUACUUAAGCAGGAUGUGAAAUCCCCGGGCUCAACCUGGGAACUGCGUUCUGAACUGGGUGACUAGAGUGUGUCAGAGGGAGGUAGAAUUCCACGUGUAGCAGUGAAAUGCGUAGAGAUGUGGAGGAAUACCGAUGGCGAAGGCAGCCUCCUGGGAUAACACUGGCGUUCAUGCCCGAAAGCGUGGGUAGCAAACAGGAUUAGAGACCCCGGUAGUCCCUGUCUCUUAUAC